rnacentral:rRNA from 1 species
AGUGAACGCUGGCGGCAGGCCUAACGCAUGCAAGUCGAACGGCAGCACAGUGGAGCUUGCUCCAUGGGUGGCGAGUGGCGGACGGGGUGAGGAAUACAUCGGAAUCUGCCCAGUCGUGGGGGAUAACAUAGGGAAACUUAUGCUAAUACCGCAUACGACCUACGGGUGAAAGCGGGGGAUCGCAAGACCUCGCGCGAUUGGAUGAGCCGAUGUCCGAUUAGCUAGUUGCGGGGUAAUGGCCCACCAAGGCGACGAUCGGUAGCUGGUCUGAGAGGAUGAUCAGCCACACUGGAACUGAGACACGGUCCAGACUCCUACGGGAGGCAGCAGUGGGGAAUAUUGGGACAAUGGGCGCAAGCCUGAUCCAGCCAUGCCGCGUGGGUGAAGAAGGCUCGGUGUAAGCCUUUGUCU